UUAGAGGAAAUUAGGCCCAGCACUAUAAAAGGCCAAAAUAAUCUCAAUGAUACGGACCGGAUAAUUUAUUUGCCAAAAUACAUUAUACUUUUUAUUUCUUUCCUCUUUACGAUUAUGUUUUACAUUACGGUUUUUCCUUUGAAAUCUUCUAAAUUCUCUCCCAUCUUCCGUUUAUUCUCCAAAGUUGUCUUCUAGCUGUGCCGUCUCAAACACCGCUGCAUUAUAAGUACGGCAACCGGAGCUCAGAUAUAGAGAGCCCCCAACAACCACCUCAGGCUCAAUCUAGAAAGGCAUCUCUCAGCUCAAUCAUUGGUCCCUGGCUCAAGCAAUCAGGUUUGGCUGUAAAUUAGAUUGUGCGGGUCGGAGCUCUUAGGUGGCCGGCCUAUUCAAUCUUUCUCCUCCUCAACGGGAGUUGAAAGAAUGUUUGUGGCCGGGUACUUCAUUUAAUUUUUGUAAAUUUUAAUGGGUUGUGAUUUGUUUUGAUGUUGUGUUUUUAAUUGAAGUCAAUUGAUCAGUUUAUUGGGAUUUUACUUUUUCAAUCUGUUCAAUUUUUCCCGGUUCAGUAUAAUGAUCUUAGAGACACUUGUUUUUUCCAGUAGGUUCAGUAGAAAAUCAAUUGUAGCAUUUACUAGUUGAUAGUCUGUCAAUUAAUGGCAAGAGUUAGGGAUAUAAUUGAAGAUUUUAAAGAUGAAGUUAGGCACACUACUGUUUUAUUGGGAUACAAUGAGCUGAAUGAUAGCAAUGCCAGGUACCGAGACCAACCGACGGCAUCUUAGCUCCGGUCUUCAAUUCGAAGAAAACUUGGGCGUGUGCUUCUCGUUGACGAGGAGGAGACGUAGGCCGCGAAUGAGCCAUUGAUUUUCUAGUGUUAUUUUCUUUUCUUGUUUUCUUUGCUUGAGAUGAGAAGCAUGGCAAACAACUCAUUCUUCAACUAUUGCAUUGUAUCUUAUUCUUUACAAGUAACUUUUUGAUUCCACCGAUUCAAUUCUUUUGUUUUUGGUAUUGGUGAUUUGUUCGGUGGCUUUAGGGUGGUGAUUUUAUCAAUAUGAUUAAUGAUUUUGCUA